rfam:Triticum aestivum genome assembly, contig: Triticum_aestivum_CS42_TGACv1_scaffold_158746_2DL
UUACUUACCUGGACGGGGUCGAUGGCUGAUCAACAAGAGUCAUGGCCUAGGCUAGUGGUCCACAUUGCAUUUGGUAGAUGCGCUGGCUUACCAUCUCCCCAACUGGGAGAGUGGACGUCAUAAUUUGUGAUAGAGGGGGUACGCGUUCGCGCGGCCCCUUG